rnacentral:rRNA from 1 species
AGUCUGCAACUCGACUACAUGAAGCUGGAAUCGCUAGUAAUCGCGAAUCAGAAUGUCGCGGUGAAUACGUUCCCGGGUCUUGUACACACCGCCCGUCACACCAUGGGAGUCGGAAAUGCCCGAAGCCGGUGACUCAACCGCAAGGAGAGAGCCGUCGAAGGCAGGUCUGAUAACUGGGGUGAAGUCGUAACAAGGUAGC